AAUAAUAAAAAAAAAUAGAGGUUAGCCAAAUCCACGCCCUUUUAAAAAUAGGGGCGUAUUCCAGCCUACAUACGUUCCCGUCAUUGGUCAACAGCAUGAAAGCGGUGAUUGGAUAGAUUCAGAGUGCGCGAGAGGAGCAUCAUUCAAGCGCGAGUUCUCUCACUUCAGCUGAGAAUAAUGAAUGCCAAUAGCGCUACAGGUGUCAACACAAUGUGAUCAUCAGAUUCCAAACAAAGAUUACCUGUACUCUGCUGAAGUGUGCUGACAAGAAGGAAGAUUGAGCAGGAGCAAAGAUCCUAAUUUUCCAGAAUAUUUGGCCAUUGUGUACAAUGUACAGAACCACAACGUUUGUGGCAGAUGCCCUCAGACAUAGGGAUUUGGGGGCCAAAGCCAUAGAGACACUGACCCAGCUCUUUGAAAUCGGGCACUCCCCCUCAUCUCCCUAACGUCCUGAAGAACGACCUGCAGAUUUAGUACAGAGAGGACUACAUCUUCACCUCUGUCGAGACCUCCAGUUCUGUUACCGUAACUUUAUUAUGAUAAAACCAAGACAUGGGGAGGAGCUGCCACGCGGAGCUACCAACCCGAUGGAACAACUUUGUGGAGGCAGCAAUGCGGGUCCUUAUGGAUAAAAACCCUCUAUUAUGAGGCACGGGUGACUGAUGUUGCCCUUGAUGGCAGGGAAACAUUCCAGCUCUCUUGUUUUCUGGCCCAGGAAAGCAACAUCAGCCCAUCUGACAUUGAGCAGGUGGGGGAGAAGCAGUACAGGGUGAAGGACACCACACCAGGCCAGACCUAUACUGUGGACAUAGAGAUGGACCUCUGCACUUUUCCAGUAGGGCACACAGGAGCUCCAUGCAAGCACCAGGCUGCUGUGGUUCAGAUAUACAAAUGCCUGUCCAUCAACUUCCUCCCGGCAACACCAGAGAUGAGGGCUGAGAAGCUAAAGAUAACAUGAGUUAAAAUAGUGGCUAAUGAAUUAUUGUUUAUGGUUAGAAAAUUAUUUCAAUGUGAAUAUUUUAUGUACCAAAGCAGAGUGCUGAAGUUGAUUAAAUAUCUCUUACAGCAACAAUACCUCUGGAUUUUCUGCAGCAAAUGAGACAGCCAAGUCAGCCAUUAGAUGCAGCUAGAUGUCCCAACCCCAAGAUCCCCUGUCAGCCUACUGCAGUUGGCCUUAGAGCGAGCAAGGUUGGAUCGAAGAGUUGUCUGACUGCUGGACGUCCAAAACCCGGAACAGCGGUCCUGAGCACAUUUACUGCUUAGACAAAAAGAGGAAAAGGCCUGCCAGGGAAGACAUGCGCCUAAUGUGGUACCCUUCCUGCAGGCUCAACCUGGCAUGACCCUCCAGCAUGGCAAUGCCACCAGCCAUACUGCUCCUUCUGUGCGUGAUUUCCUGCAAGAUAUAACUAUUUAAUUCUAUAAUGUCCAAAUUUGUGGCUAUUGACGAUGUCUGCAUUUUCUGUGAAAAAGGUGAGAAUCCGACUCGCUUGUGCUUUGAGUGUAAAUUUGCCCUAAUUUUGGGAAAAACUUGCAGAAUACUUAUUUACCAUUAUGAACACUACCAAUGUUUUUGACAUUAUAUAAUGUUACUAUUGCAAUGAUAACAAAACCAUUGAAAUGCUUUGACUUUUUUCUUUCUUGUUGCCAAAUACUUUAUACAAACAAAAAUUCCAGAGUUCUAUACCAAAAUUACACUUAAUUUAAUUCAUAAGACAUUAUCCCUAGUGAAUAACAUCUUCCUGGAUCAUUGAGAUUUUUCAGAGUGAAUACAAUUGCACUAGAAUUGUUUUUAAACUUAUUGACUUUUUUUUGUUGUAUUUUCUUGUUAAUACUUGUCUUGUUAGACAUGUUUGGUGUAGCAAUGUAAGUAGAUUUUUGUGUUAUGAAUAAAAAAUAAAAUAAACAUUCGGCUUUA